GACAUUUAUAUGUUUAAAAGCAACUGAAAAAAAACACAAAUGUCAGGGCAUUCCCGUCCGAUCUCGGAAGCUAAGCAGGACCGGGCCUGGUUCGUACUUGGACGGGAGACCGCCCGGGAAUACCAGGUGCUGUAAGCU
rnacentral:rRNA from 12 species